rnacentral:lncRNA from 1 species
UUGGUCAUCUUGCCUAGCAAGCAAGCCUCACAUGUCUCGUAUGAUUCAAAAUCAAACGAAGUUAGAAGUCCAUCAGAAUGGAGCUUCUUCAUGCGCUUAUCACUUAUAUGACCCAAACGACAAUGCCACAAGUAGGUAGGACUCAAAUCAAUAGGCCGAGGCCUUUUAGCACUUACAUUACAGACAGGUGAACCAUCAAGAUUUAAAACAAAUAAUCCAUUCACAAUGGGUGCAAAAGCCAU